rnacentral:tRNA from 1 species
AGGAGCUGUGCCUGAAUAUUAAGGGCCACUUUGAUAGAGUGUACCAUGGAGGUUAAAGUCCUCCCAACUCCUU